GCAUAUCAAUAAGCGGAGGAAAAGAAACCAACAGGGAUUGCCCUAGUAACGGCGAGUGAAGCGGCAACAGCUCAAAUUUGAAAUCUGGCCCUCGGGUCCGAGUUGUAAUUUGUAGAGGAUGCUUUUGGUGCGGUGCCUUCCGAGUUCCCUGGAACGGGACGCCAUAGAGGGUGAGAGCCCCGUCUGGUUGGACACCAAGCCUCUGUAAAGCUCCUUCGACGAGUCGAGUAGUUUGGGAAUGCUGCUCUAAAUGGGAGGUAUAUGUCUUCUAAAGCUAAAUACCGGCCAGAGACCGAUAGCGCACAAGUAGAGUGAUCGAAAGAUGAAAAGCACUUUGAAAAGAGGGUUAAAUAGUACGUGAAAUUGUUGAAAGGGAAGCGCUUGUGACCAGACUUGAGCCCGGUUAAUCAUCCAGCCUUCUGGCUGGUGCACUUGGCCGGCUCAGGCCAGCAUCAGUUCGGCGUGGGGGAUAAAGACUUCGGGAAUGUGGCUCCUUCGGGAGUGUUAUAGCCCGUUGUGUAAUACCCUGUACUGGACUGAGGUUCGCGCAUCUGCAAGGAUGCUGGCGUAAUGGUCAUCAGCGACCCGUCUUGAAACACGGACCAAGGAGUCGUCCUCGUAUGCGAGUGUUCGGGUGUCAAACCCCUACGCGUAAUGAAAGUGAACGCAGGUGAGAGCUUCGGCGCAUCAUCGACCGAUCCUGAUGUUCUCGGACGGAUUUGAGUAAGAGCAUACGGGGCCGGACCCGAAAGAAGGUGAACUAUGCCUGUAUAGGGUGAAGCCAGAGGAAACUCUGGUGGAGGCUCGCAGCGGUUCUGACGUGCAAAUCGAUCGUCAAAUAUGGGCAUGGGGGGCGAAAGACUAAUCGAACCUUCUAGUAGCUGGUUUCCGCCG
rnacentral:rRNA from 1 species